AAGACCUGGCGCUUGAAGAGGGGCCCGCGUCCGAUUAGCUAGUUGGUGAGGUAACGGCUCACCAAGGCGACGAUCGGUAUCCGGCCUGAGAGGGCAGACGGACACACUGGGACUGAGACACGGCCCAGACUCCUACGGGAGG
rnacentral:rRNA from 1 species